rnacentral:misc_RNA from 1 species
UCACCGCUUGCGCGGGCAGUUUCUCUAGAGUCCCCGACAUUACUCGCUGGCAACUAAAGAUAGGGGUUGCGCUCGUUAUGGGACUUAACCCGACACCUCACGGCACGAGCUGACGACAACCAUGCAGCACCUUGUAAAUUGUCCGAAGAAGGACUGGUUUCCCAAUCUGUCAAUCUACAUUUAAGCCCAGGUAAGGUUCCUCGCGUAUCAUCGAAUUAAACCACAUGCUCCACCGCUUGUGCGGGCCCCCGUCAAUUCCUUUGAGUUUCAUUCUUGCGAACGUACUCCCCAGGUGGGUUACUUAUCACUUUCGCUUAGCCACUCAGUCUUACGACCAAACAGCUAGUAACCAUCGUUUACGGCGUAGACUAC